CUGAAUAAUGGCCCAAGGUUCUGUAUUUAUAGAGGUAGGUGGUGUGUUCAUAUUAGGAUUCCGUGUUGCACCUGUAGUAGGAUAGCUUGAUUUUGCAAUCUUACACCAAUGAGUCCUACGCGAGAUAGGAGUUUGAAUUGAGGUAUAACUGUGAUACCAAUAGAGUUCUUCAGGGCAUAGGAGACAUGAAUUGAGGAUUUUUAGUCAGAAUAAAUCUCUCGUUGGAUGAGGCGCUGUCGUAGGUCAUAAUCCCGAGGACAAAACCCCGAGGAUAUGUCGAAUGAUUGAUGAAUGACUCUUCGGGAUAAUAGCCCGGGCAUUUAGGGGGAUACCCCGAGCACAUAUGUCCCGAGCACAUAUGUCCCGAGCAUUUUGAUACACAUACCGACGAAAUUGAGUCAUCGGGUAUGUGUAUACGUCGGGAACAAACUUGGUUAUAUCA
rnacentral:lncRNA from 1 species